GACGUAGGGCGCGAGCGUUGUCCGGAUUUAUUGGGCGUAAAGAGCUCGUAGGCGGCUUGUCGCGUCAACUGUGAAAACCCGUGGCUCAACCAUGUGGUCUGCAGUCGAUACGGGCAGGCUAGAAUUCGGUAGGGGAGACUGGAAUUCCUGGUGUAGCGGUGAAAUGCGCAGAUAUCAGGAGGAGCACCGGUGGCGAAGGCGGGUCUCUGGGCCGAUAUUGACGCUGAGGAGCGAAAGCGUGGGGAGCAAACAGG
rnacentral:rRNA from 1 species